UAGGGAAUCUUCGGCAAUGGACGGAAGUCUGACCGAGCAACGCCGCGUUAGUGAAGAAGGUUUUCGGAUCGUAAAGCUCUGUUGUUAGAGAAGAACGUUGGUAGGAGUGGAAAAUCUACCAAGUGACGGUAACUAACCAGAAAGGGACGGCUAACUACGUGCCAGCAGCCGCGGUAAUACGUAGGUCCCGAGCGUUGUCCGGAUUUAUUGGGCGUAAAGCGAGCGCAGGCGGUUCUUUAAGUCUGAAGUUAAAGGCAGUGGCUUAACCAUUGUACUCUUUGGAAACUGGAGGACGUGAGUGCAGAAGGGGAGAGUGGAAUUCCAUGUGUAGCGGUGAAAUGCGUAGAUAUAUGGAGGAACACCGGUGGCGAAAGCGGCUCUCUGGUCUGUAACUGACGCUGAGGCUCGAAAGCGUGGGGAGCAAACAGG
rnacentral:rRNA from 1 species